GACAGAGGGGGCAAGCGUUGCUCGGAAUUACUGGGCGUAAAGGGCGCGUAGGCGGGAUGGCAAGUCGGUUGUGAAAUCCCUCGGCUCAACUGAGGAUCGUCGAUCGAUACUGCCGUUCUUGAGGAUUGCAGAGGAGACUGGAAUUCCCGGUGUAGCGGUGAAAUGUGUAGAGAUCGGGAGGAACACCGGUGGCGAAGGCGGGUCUCUGGGCAAUUCCUGACGCUGAGGCGCGAAAGCGUGGGGAGCAAACGGG
rnacentral:rRNA from 1 species